UAGAGGCGGGGGUGGGGCGAGACAGGAGUGGGAGCGAUAGGUGUGUGGCGCUGCGCAGUAUAAGCAGGAAAAAGAGGAGCCAAAAUGGCAAUGAAGCGGGGUCAGGAGAGGGUUCAGGACAAGCCUACCGGACCAGCAGAGAAGGGCGGGGCCCAGGGUCUGGAACAGCUCUGGAUGGCCUCCAGUGCAGAUCUUCCUGGCGUGGUGUGCAGUGCUGGGAUAACAAGCACAUGCCAUGCUAGUGGUUCCCAUGCAGCCUGCACCCUGUGUGGUGGCCUGGAAUCCAGGGCCUAGCUAAGCAUGUGCUGCACCCAAGCUGCAUGAAACAACCCCAUGAAACCUGCCCCCCCCCCACCUCAGCAACUCCUGCUUUCUAGUAGCCACUUCUGUGACCCUCACAUGACAUCAGACCGACCUGUAGUGUGGUAUCAGCAGCGCUGGAGUGCAUCCAGUUCCAGGUGAGGGGUGCACAGCCUGCACUCAUACUUUGUGGGCUCCUUAUCCCCCAAUCCCCUACCCCAAGCCCUGGGCUGUGAAGAGUCUGUGUGAUGUCUCAAGGGCAGCAAUGCCCCUGCUUCAUGUGAGCGUAACUCCUGCACAACCAGGUCACAGGCACUUUAUCUUUAUUUCAGCUCUGGGCAGGUGCCCCAGGUCCCAGUGUCCAUGUCUGGGAGCUUUAGGGCCUGCAAAGAGCAUGGGCCAUAGCUGUGGGUCUGCAGGAACGGACAGCUUCAGGCCAGGGCAUGGUCCUGAGUCACAAAGCUGGCCUCUUCCAGGCCCUGGUACCCAAGGCACAAAGGGACAGAGGUGUGGCGGCCACACGAUCUCCCUGGGGUGCAGAUUGGUGCUGCUCCAGGCAAGGUCACCCAGCUCAUGUCCUGUGACUCUCAGAGGGCUCUGGUGCUUCCUAGAAUGUACCUUGGUAAGGAGGCUGAGCCUACUGCAAGUGCGGGUCCCCUGUCCAAGAUAGCUGAGCUGGCCCCAGAGUCCAAAGCUCCUGUACUGUGCACAGUCCCCGUGGCCACUCCAAGGAGACUAUAGUGUGGCUGCCGCUGUGGUCUCUGCUCUGCCAGGGCCCAGGUUACAGGGAUGCACCCAGCCUUAAUAGCAAAGUCUGAAUGUACAGUAUAAAACAAUUUGGUCUCCCAUUAAGCUGUUACAGUUUCAAGUUAUGUAAACCACGUACAAAGUUAUAAAAACG